rnacentral:tmRNA from 1 species
GGGGGCGUAAUGGUUUCGACGUGGGUUUGGAACUUGAGGCUGCGUGUCGUGUUACUCUGGGUCACGUAAAAACUGGGGAACUUAAAAUAAACGCAAACGAUAAUUA